rnacentral:rRNA from 1 species
GAUGAAUGCUGGCGGCGUGCCUAAUACAUGCAAGUCGAGCGGUAAGGCCCUUCGGGUACACGAGCGGCGGACGGCUGAGUAACGCGUGGGAACAUGCCCCAAAGUGAGGGAUAACGCACCGAAAGGUGUGCUAAUACCGCAUAUGGUCUUCGGAUUAAAGGAUUUAUCCGCUUUGGGAGUGGCCCGCGUACGAUUAGAUUGUUGGUGAGGUAACGGCUCACCAAGUCGACGAUCGUUAACUGGUCUGAGAGGAUGAUCAGUCAGACUGGAACUGAGACACGGUCCAGACUCCUACGGGAGGCAGCAGUAAGGAAUCUUCCACAAUGGGCGAAAGCCUGAUGGAGCAACGCCGCGUGCAGGAUGAAGGCCCUCGGGUCGUAAACUAGCUUUAUGAGUGAAGAAUAUGACGGUAACUCAUGAAUAAGACACCGGCUAACUACGUGCCAGCAGCCGCGGUAAU